rnacentral:rRNA from 1 species
GAUGAACGCUAGCUACAGGCUUAACACAUGCAAGUCGAGGGGAAACGACAUCGAAAGCUUGCUUUUGAUGGGCGUCGACCGGCGCACGGGUGAGUAACGCGUAUCCAACCUGCCCACCACUUGGGGAUAACCUUGCGAAAGUAAGACUAAUACCCAAUGAUAUCUCUAGAAGACAUCUGAAAGAGAUUAAAGAUUUAUCGGUGAUGGAUGGGGAUGCGUCUGAUUAGCUUGUUGGCGGGGUAACGGCCCACCAAGGCUACGAUCAGUAGGGGUUCUGAGAGGAAGGUCCCCCACAUUGGAACUGGGUCCCGGUCCAAACUCCUACGGGAUGCAGCAGUGAGGAAUAUUGGUCAAUGGGCGAGAGCCUGAACCAGCCAAGUAGCGUGCAGGAUGACGGCCCUAUGGGUUGUAAACUGCUUUUAUAAGGGAAUAAAGUGAGCCUCGUGAGGCUUUUUGCAUGUACCUUAUGAAUAAGGACCGGCUAAUUCCGUGCCAGCCGCCGCCGUAA